rnacentral:rRNA from 2 species
UGGGGGAUAUUGCGCAAUGGGGGCAACCCUGACGCAGCAACGCCGCGUGAAGGAUGAAGGUUUUCGGAUUGUAAACUUCUUUUAUUAAGGACGAAAAAUGACGGUACUUAAUGAAUAAGCUUCGGCUAACUACGUGCCAGCAGCCGCGGUAAUACGUAGGGAGCAAGCGUUGUCCGGAUUUACUGGGUGUAAAGGGUGCGUAGGCGGCUUUGCAAGUCAGAUGUGAAAUCUAUGGGCUCAACCCAUAAACUGCAUUUGAAACUGUAGAGCUUGAGUGAAGUAGAGGCAGGCGGAAUUCCCCGUGUAGCGGUGAAAUGCGUAGAGAUGGGGAGGAACACCAGUGGCGAAGGCGGCCUGCUGGGCUUUAACUGACGCUGAGGCACGAAAGCGUGGGUAGCAAACAGGAUUAGAUACCCUGGUAGUCCACGCUGUAAACGAUGAUUACUAGGUGUGGGGGGUCUGACCCCUUCCGUGCCGGAGUUAACACAAUAAGUAAUCCACCUGGGGAGUACGGCCGCAAGGUUGAAACUCAAAGGAAUUGACGGGGGCCCGCACAAGCAGUGGAGUAUGUGGUUUAAUUCGAAGCAACGCGAAGAACCUUACCAGGUCUUGACAUCCAACUAACGAAGUAGAGAUACAUUAGGUGCCCUUCGGGGAAAGUUGAGACAGGUGGUGCAUGGUUGUCGUCAGCUCGUGUCGUGAGAUGUUGGGUUAAGUCCCGCAACGAGCGCAACCCUUGCUAUUAGUUGCUACGCAAGAGCACUCUAAUAGGACUGCCGUUGACAAAACGGAGGAAGGUGGGGACGACGUCAAAUCAUCAUGCCCCUUAUGACCUGGGCUACACACGUACUACAAUGGAUGUUAACAGAGGGAAGCAAGACAGCGAUGUGGAGCAAACCCCUAAAAACAUUCUCAGUUCAGAUUGCAGGCUGCAACCCGCCUGCAUGAAGAUGGAAUUGCUAGUAAUCGCGGAUCAGCAUGCCGCGGUGAAUACGUUCCC